rnacentral:SRP_RNA from 1 species
UCUGGGCACAGUGGCGCGUGCCUGUAGUUCCAGCUACUUGGGAGGCUGAGGCUGGAGGAUUGCUCGAGUCCAGGAGUUCUGGGCUGUAGUGCACUAUGCCGGUCGGGUGUCCGCACUAAGUUUGGCAUCAAUAUAGUGACCUCCCAGGAGCGGGGGACCACCAGGUUGCCUAAGGAGGGGUGAACCAGCCCAGGUUGGAAAUGGAGCAGGUCAAAACUCCCGUGCUGAUCAGUAGUGGGAACGCGCCUGUGAAUAGCCACUGCACUCCAGCCUGGGCAACAUAGUGAGACCCCAUCUCU